CUGAACCAGCCAAGUAGCGUGAAGGAUGACUGCGCUAUGGGUUGUAAGCUUCUUUUAUAUGGGGAUAAAGUGGUCCACGUGUGGGUUUUUGUAUGUACCAUAUGAAUAAGGAUCGGCUAACUCCGUGCCAGCAGCCGCGGUAAUACGGAGGAUCCGAGCGUUAUCCGGAUUUAUUGGGUUUAAAGGGAGCGUAGGCGGAUUGUUAAGUCAGUUGUGAAAGUUUGCGG
rnacentral:rRNA from 1 species